rnacentral:pre_miRNA from 1 species
AGGAUGCCAUGUUGAUUGUACUUCAUCAGGUGCUCUGGUCUAUUUGAAUCCAGGCAUCUGUCGGAGUGCAAGCCAUAUGUGCAUUCA